GAGUUUGAUCUUGGCUCAGGACGAACGCUGGCGGCGUGCUUAACACAUGCAAGUCACGGGGGCUCGCAAGAGCAACCGGCGAACGGGUGCGUAACACGUGAACAACCUGCCCUCGUGUGGGGGAUAGCCGGGCUAACGCCCGGGUAAUACCGCAUACGUUCUCUUUGGGGAGUCCCGAGGAGAGGAAAGCUCCGGCGCACGGGGAGGGGUUCGCGGCCUAUCAGCUUGUUGGCGGGGUAAUGGCCCACCAAGGCGACGACGGGUAGCUGGUCUGAGAGGAUGGCCAGCCACAUUGGGACUGAGAGACGGCCCAGACUCCUACGGGAGGCAGCAGUGGGGAAUCUUGCGCAAUGGUCGAAAGACUGACGCAGCGACGCCGCGUGUGGGAGGACGCCUUUCGGGGUGUAACCACUGUUG
rnacentral:rRNA from 1 species